rnacentral:rRNA from 1 species
UGCCAGCCGCCGCGGUAAUACGAAGGGUGCUAGCGUUGUUCGGAAUUACUGGGCGUAAAGAGCAUGUAGGCGGAUGAAUUAGUCAGAGGUGAAAUCCCACGGCUCAACCGUGGAACUGCAUAAUGAACUGCGAGUCUUGAGGUCGGUAGAGGUUGUCGGAACUCUAGGUGGAGCGGUGAAAUGCGUAGAUAUCUAGAGGAACGCCUAAGGUGAAGACAGGCAACUGGGCCGAUCCUGACGCUGAGGCACGAAAGCGUGGAGAGCAAACAGGAUUAGAUA